rnacentral:rRNA from 1 species
UACGUAGGGGGCAAGCGUUGUCCGGAUUUAUUGGGCGUAAAGAGCGUGUAGGCGGCCAGGUAGGUCGGUUGUGAAAACUGGAGGCUCAACCUUCAGACGUCGACCGAAACCACCUGGCUAGAGUCCGGAAGAGGAGAGUGGAAUUCCUGGUGUAGCGGUGAAAUGCGCAGAUAUCAGGAAGAACACCCGUGGCGAAGGCGGCUCUCUGGGACGGUACUGACGCUGAGACGCGAAAGCGUGGGGAGCGAACAGG